GCGCUUAACACAUGCAAGUCGCACGAGAAAGGGGGAGCAAUCUCCUGAGUACAGUGGCGUACGGGUGAGUAACACGUGGAUGAUCUACCUCUUAGUGGGGAAUAUCUCUGGGAAACCGGAGUUAAUACCGCAUAAGCUCGAGAGAGGAAACGGGAAACCGGCUGAGAGAGGAGUCCGCGGCCGAUUAGCUAGUUGGUAGGGUAAGAGCCUACCAAGGCGUAGAUCGGUAGCCGGCCUGAGAGGGCACACGGCCACACUGGCACUGAAACACGGGCCAG
rnacentral:rRNA from 1 species